CGAUCGAUUCGAAUUUGUUCUGCCGACAAAGAGAAGAAGACGUUGAUGAAUUCCACACAAGCUUAGGCCUCCUCUCUGAUGUUUUUACUUUUGAGAUACCGGUGAAUUCGUUAGCAUCUACAGAGCGUGUAAAAUUGUUCAUCGGUUUUCCAGUGGUCUAAAUGAUUCAGAUGGAAAUGUAGUCUCUUGAGUUGUUGGACAAAUUAAUGGUCAUAUCUUUUGAGCAUCUUGAAUCCUGUCAAAAUGCUGGUCGUUGAGUACAUGAGAUGUCUUGGCUUAGACUCAUUUUGCUUUCAUCUGCAGUUCCUGCUGUUUGUUAUAUGUGUGCUCACUGUAUCCUGAAAGUUGUGGUGUGAAAUUUGCCACUUUUAUUUUAUCUCUUUGAACUUCAUCUACUUGUCCAUGC
rnacentral:sRNA from 1 species